UCUCUGUCCGACGCAAUCCACUGAAAUGCAAUCUGGGGAUUAUAAAGGGUCAGAUGUUGCCUUUAUAAUAACAAACACCCAGCAACUAGAGGAAUAAAAGUGAGAGGCUCAAGGAAAGAGUUCCCACUUGUUGGUAAGAUUCUCAGAGGCGAGGAACAAUGUCCUCAAUUUGUUUCACUGAUACAAUGCCUGAGUACAUGCCUUCUACUUACUUUUAAAAAAGUUAACUGUAAAACAGCCUGAGGCAGGUCCUUCAAGAGGUAUUCCAGAAGGCAUUGUUGUUAGAAGAGAUGGCAGCUCCACGUGUGUUACUGUCCUUGAAGACCUUCUAGCGGGACAA